CCCUAAAAAGACGGUCUCAGUUCGGAUUGAAGGCUGAAAUUCGCUUCAUGAAGCUGGAAUUGCUAGUAAUGGCAGGUCAGCAUACUGCCGUGAAUACGUUCCCGGGCCUUGUACACACCGCCCGUCACACCAUGAGAGUUGGAAAUACCCGAAGCCUGUGAGCUAACUGUAAAGAGGCAGCAGUCGAAGGUAGAGCCAAUGAUUGGGGUGAAGUCGUAACAAGGUAUC
rnacentral:rRNA from 1 species